rnacentral:hammerhead_ribozyme from 1 species
AUCCAGCUGACGAGCCCUAAACAGGACGAAACGCGCGUCCCGGAU